AACGAACGCUGGCGGCAGGCCUAACACAUGCAAGUCGAGCGAGAUCUUCGGGUCUAGCGGCGGACGGGUGAGUAACGCGUGGGAAUAUGCCUCUUGGUACGGAAUAGCCUCGGGAAACUGGGAGUAAUACCGUAUGUGCCCUUUGGGGGGAAGAUUUAUCGCCAAGAGAUUAGCCCGCGUUGGAUUAGGUAGUUGGUGGGGUAAUGGCCUACCAAGCCGACGAUCCAUAGCUGGUUUGAGAGGAUGAUCAGCCACACUGGGACUGAGACACGGCCCAGACUCCUACGGGAGGCAGCAGUGGGGAAUCUUAGACAAUGGGGGCAACCCUGAUCUAGCCAUGCCGCGUGAGUGAUGAAGGCCUUAGGGUUGUAAAGCUCUUUCAGCUGGGAAGAUAAUGACGGUACCAGCAGAAGAAGCCCCGGCUAACUCCGUG
rnacentral:rRNA from 1 species